rnacentral:rRNA from 1 species
GACGAACGCUGGCGGCGUGCUUAACACAUGCAAGUCGAACGGAAAGGCCCUGCUUUUGUGGGGUGCUCGAGUGGCGAACGGGUGAGUAACACGUGAGUAACCUGCCCUUGACUUUGGGAUAACUUCAGGAAACUGGGGCUAAUACCGGAUAGGAGCUCCUGCUGCAUGGUGGGGGUUGGAAAGUUUCGGCGGUUGGGGAUGGACUCGCGGCUUAUCAGCUUGUUGGUGGGGUAGUGGCUUACCAAGGCUUUGACGGGUCGCCGGCCUGAGAGGGUGGACGGCCACAUUGCGACUGCGAUACGGCCCAGACUCCUACGGGAGGCAGCAGUGGGGAGUAUUGCACAAUGGGCGGGAGCCUGAUGCAGCAACGCCGCGUGCGGGAUGACGGCCUUCGGGUUGUAAACCGCUGUCGCCUGUGACGAAGCGUGAGUGACGGUAAUGGAUAAAGAAGCACCGGCUAACUACGUG